rnacentral:rRNA from 1 species
AGGAUAGUAAUGUAUCCGUCCCUUCGGGGCAGUGGAGACAGGUGGUGCAUGGUUGUCGUCAGCUCGUGUCGUGAGAUGUUGGGUUAAGUCCCGCAACGAGCGCAACCCUUACCUUCAGUAGCCAGCACAUAAUGGUGGGCACUCUGGAGGGACUGCCGGGGACAACCCGGAGGAAGGUGGGGACGACGUCAAAUCAUCAUGCCCCUUAUGGCCUGGGCUACACACGUGCUACAAUGGCGUAAACAGAGGGAGGCAGCCCCGCGAGGGUGAGCAAACCCCAAAAAUAACGUCCCAGUUCGGAUUGCAGUCUGCAACUCGACUGCAUGAAGCUGGAAUCGCUAGUAAUCGCGGAUCAGAAUGCCGCGGUGAAUACGUUCCCGGGUCUUGUACACACCGCCCGUCACACCAUGGGAGUUGGUAACGCCCGAAGUCAGUGACCUAACCGAAAGGGAGGAGCUGCCGAAGGUGGGACCAGUGACUGGGGUGAAGUCGUAACAAGGUAGCCGUAUCGGAAGG